AUUGAACGCUGGCGGCAUGCUCUACACAUGCAAGUCGAACGGUAACAGGCCGCAAGGUGCUGACGAGUGGCGAACGGGUGCGUAAUGCAUCGGAACGUGCCCAGUCGUGGGGGAUAACUACUCGCAAGAGUAGCUAAUACCGCAUACGAUCUAUGGAUGAAAGCGGGGGACCGUAAGGCUUCGCGCGAUUGGAGCGGCCGAUGUCAGAUUAGGUAGUUGGUGGGGUAAAGGCUCACCAAGCCAACGAUCUGUAGCUGGUCUGAGAGGACGACCAGCCACACUGGGACUGAGACACGGCCCAGACUCCUACGGGAGGCAGCAGUGGGGAAUUUUGGACAAUGGGCGCAAGCCUGAUCCAGCAAUGCCGCGUGCAGGAAGAAGGCCUUCGGGUUGUAAACUGCUUUUGUACGGAACGAAACGGCUCUGGUUAAUACCCGGGGCUAAUGACGGUACCGUAAGAAUAAGCACCGGCUAACUACGUG
rnacentral:rRNA from 1 species